rnacentral:lncRNA from 1 species
ACCAUCUCGCCAGGGAAGUUGAGCACUGGGGAGGAGGGUGAUGAGAGGCUAGAGCCAGCCAGAGUGCAGGGAAUGUGGGGGGAAGGGUCAGAAAUCGGGAAAGGGGCGACUGGUGUGGAUGCCGGGAUUCACCAGAAGCUGAGUCACUCGGGGGGAUUUCUGUCCCAAAAGGGACCUGUGCACCCCCACCCAAUGUGAUCACAGCUCACAGAGGCCCAAAAGUCAUCAGCAUCUUUCUAAAAGGGCUGGAAUCUGGCUUCAAAAACAGAAUUGAGCCACGUAGGGUAGCUGAAGAACAAUGCAUAGAAAGAAGUCUGUGGUCUGGCCAGGAGAGCCACAUGGAGGGGUCCUUUGCUUCAGGCCCCAAGCCACCUGGAUCCCGCCCAGCUCUGGACUUCUGAGCGGGUUCUAGGAAACUGACUGAGUAGGGGAGAAGCCCAAUUAACCUUGUUCUCAGGGCAGGAUAAGAAUCAGGCCUCGGGAUAAGUGCCAAGUUCCUUUUCUCUGCAAUUGCCCCUGCCAGGCCUUGCUCCACGCCAUGAGUGCAGAUCAGACUUUUGCAGGUUAGGAUCUGGGGUAUGUGCCUUGCUCUACACUCCCUGCAAUAAGUGAGGGGGAAGGAAGAUGGGCCAACUCCUUUCUUCCAUGAAUAGGAGUGAUUCAGAGGUUUCUAAGAUGCUGAAGACAGGGACACAUCCGGGGGAUGAAGGCCCUAGUCUGUGAUCUCACUCUAGAGAGGCGAUGCCGGGAGAAUUCCAGAGAAGGCAGUGAAAUUUUGAAAGAAUGCUGGUAAAUGUUCUGAAAACUGCUGGAGAAUUCCAGUGCAGCAUUGGAAAGGGCCUCCUGCUCCAUGUUCCCCUGGGUCAGGCAAAUGGACCUCCCUCUGCAGCCAGAAGAAAAGACACUAGACGAGGGUCAGCAUGCCACAGUGGACAGCUCCUGGCCUUGGCGCCUCUGCCGACAGCUGUCCUGACCACCGGGAGGGUAUUCUUUCUACUGGGGGACAGAAGAGGUUUGAGGACAGACAUUUAGGGGAUGCAAUGAGCUCAAGUUCAGAGUAUAAUUUGAUCCACCCUUCAAUAUAUAGGACUUCCUUCUUCAACAAUCUUUCCCUUUCCUGCUUGUCAGGGAGAUAUUAUUUUGGGUUCUUGGACCCAAUCUUUAAAAGCCUUUGCAUGCCUGACCUUAAUCCUCAACCCCAACACUACAAACCCCACUUCAGCCCUAAAAUGAGUCACAGUGUUUGGAGAAAUCAUUUAAAUGAGCAGCAUCAGAAACAGCCUCUUUGGGGGACUCCUAAAUGUGUUCAGGCUUUAGGAUGGGAGUCUUUGGGGCUCAGAACCCUCUUCAAAUAUUCUAGGGCUACAGCAUGCACUGAGGGCUGAGCAGGGGGAGUAGGAGGGACUCUAUCAGGGAAGUCAGUUAAGAGCUGCCCCUGCCUCUCAGGUUCAGAGAAAAAAGAAUUGUGAGGCCACAUUGUCUGAGCAGGAGAUGCUCACCCAGUGCCCUUCCUCCCUUCUAAGCCCUUAGGGUUCCCUCUGUUCAGAACUGUACCAGACAGGAAGAAAUCAGCCCAGAUUUGGACUGGGUGGGCGCCUGCUGCCCUGUCCCAGGGAGUACAUGGUUAGGCUCCUCUCUACUGGGUGGGCGCCCAGACUCAGCCACCUCACAGACCUCUAGGGGUGUUCCUCCAACCUUGUCCACACCCCUAAACAUGUCAACAUUCCUG